rnacentral:rRNA from 1 species
CAACUCCGAGUAGCAUCGGGGGUAGUGGCGCCGGGUGCGUACGCGUGGGAACUGCCUUUAGGUUCGGAAUAACUCAGAGAAAUUUGAGCUAAUACCGGAUAAUGUCUUCGGACCAAAGAUUUAUCGCCUUUAGAUGGGCCCGCGUUAGAUUAGAUAGUUGGUGGGGUAAUGGCCUACCAAGUCGACGAUCUAUAGCUGGUCUGAGAGGAUGAUCAGCCACACUGGGACUGAGACACGGCCCAAACUCCUACGGGAGGCAGCAGUGGGGAAUAUUGAACAAUGGGCGAAAGCCUGAUCCACCAAUGCCGCGUGAGUGAUGAAGGCCUUAGGGUUGUAAAGCUCUUUUACUAGGGAUGAUAAUGACAGUACCUAGAGAAUAAGCUCCGGCUAACUCCGUGCCAGCAGCCGCGGUAAUACGGAGGGAGCUAGCGUUGUUCGGAAUUACUGGGCGUAAAGCGCGCGUAGGCGGCUUAUCAAGUCAGGGGUGAAAUCCCGGAGCUCAACUCCGGAACUGCCCUUGAAACUGGUUGGCUAGAAUAUUGGAGAGGUAAGUGGAAUUCCGAGUGUAGAGGUGAAAUUCGUAGAUAUUCGGAAGAACACCAGUGGCGAAGGCGACUUACUGGACAAUUAUUGACGCUGAGGUGCGAAAG